rfam:Triticum urartu cultivar G1812 contig1240159, whole genome shotgun sequence.
GAUGCAAAGCGACGAAAUUGUCUCACAGGUUCUAGCCGGCCUUGACCUCGACUACAACCCGGUAAUGUCGGCCCUUGCUGCGCGCGUGGAGCCAGUCACCGUCCAAGAGCUGUACACACAACUGUUAAGUUUUGGUG